AAAAUAUGGAUCAAAGAUUUUUGCAAAGAUUGUUCAGUCUUGUAUCCUCAGCUGAAAUUCUAUUUCUACUUCUUUUACCUCUAACAUUUAUCAUCCUCAAGAACAUUAUAAGGUCAUGUUCUAAAAGCAAGUAUCUUCCACCUGGUCCAAAGCCAUGGCCCAUCAUAGGCAACCUUCUUCAUAUGGGGAAUCAGCCUCAUGUAUCCUUGGCAGAAAUUGCAAAAAUCCACGGCCCCCUCAUCUCACUAAGGCUAGGAACUCAACUCCUUGUUGUUGGUUCUUCAGCAAAGGCAGCAACUGAGAUUCUCAAAACUCACGAUCGAUUCCUCUCUGCUCGACACGUACCUCAAGUGAUUCCUCGGGAAAGCCAUGUCCUUCGCCGGGUUGCGCUCGUCUGGUGCCCUGAAAGCAUUGAUACAUGGAAAUUGCUACGAGGAUUGUGUAGGACUGAGUUAUUUUCAGCCAAAGCAAUAGAGUCAAAUGCGACUUUGAGAGAGAAGAAAGUUGGGGAGUUGAUGGAUUUUUUGGUAGCAAGAGAAGGAAAAGUUGUUAGCAUUGGAGAAGUAGUGUUUAGUACUGUAUUCAACACAAUAUCGAAUCUUUUAUUCUCCAAUGAUCUUGCUGGUUUGGAAGAGAACGGGAUGUCAAGUGGAUUGAAGAGCCAUGUUCGGAAGCUGAUGCUGUUGAUUGCUGCUCCAAACAUAGCUGAUUUUUAUCCUAUAUUUGCAGGGUUGGAUCCUCAAGGUUUAAGAAGGAAAUUAUCCAAGCUUGUUGAAGAAACUUUUGCUACAUGGGCAAUCAACAUCAAGGAAAGAAGAAAUAGCUAUGUCCAAGAUUCUCCUAAAAGAGAUUUCUUGGAUGUUUUUCUUGCAAAUGGGUUUGACGACGAUCAAAUCAAUUGGUUAGCCUCAGUAUGAACAAACAAAAUACCUUUUGCUUUUAUUCCCAUGUAUUAAUUUGGUUUGAAUCCGAUGGAAUCUUGACAGUAUGUAAUUUCUGUUGGUUUUCUUUGCAGGAAUUGUUCAGCGCAGGCACAGACACUGCUGCCACAACAAUAGAGUGGGCAGUGGCCGAGAUACUGAAGAACAAAGAAGUUCUGGAAAAAGUUGAAGAAGAGCUCGAAAGAGAAACCACAAAGAAUACAAUUUCUGAAUCUGAUGUCUCUCAGCUUCCAUAUCUAAAUGCAUGUAUAAAGGAAACCUUGAGGUUACACCCUCCUGUGCCAUUGCUUGUUCCACAUCGCGCUACCGAGACCUGUGAGGUUAUGAAGUACACAGUUCCGAAGGAUUCUCAAGUUCUUGUGAAUGUUUGGGCAAUCAGCCGUGAUCCGUCGACCUGGGAAGACCCAUUAUCAUUUAAACCUGACAGGUUUCUUGGCUCAAAUGUGGACUUCAAAGGUGGCAACUACGAGUUUCUCCCAUUCGGUGCUGGAAGAAGAAUCUGCCCUGGAUUACCCAUGGCCAAUAAACUUAUCCCCUUGAUUUUAGCCUCUUUGAUCCGUUGUUUUGACUGGUCACUUCCCAAUGGUGAGGAUCUUGCAAGGUUAGACAUGAAGGAUAAGUUUGGUGUUGUUUUGCAGAAGGAGCAACCUCUACUUCUUGUUCCCAAAAGAAGAUUGUAAUUUCAGACUGGUUAUUGUCUACGUGCUGCUCUAAUAUGUUUAUCUACACAAAAUAAAAAGCUGUAAGCUUCAAUGUCUCCGUUUAUUUGCUGGAAAGUAUUUUGUUUUUGAAAAGUAAAUUCCAGAAAAAGUAUUUUUCGAUAUUUGGUAGUGUAAUGAAAAAUAAGUUGGAAAACACUUUCCAGUGUUUGGUUAUGUCAUUGAAAAUGAACUGAAAAAAAACUUAUUAAUAUUUUAUUUCUCUCAAGUUUAUUAAAAUAAUAAGGAGCAAAUCUUACAAAUUAAAAAGUUGAAUGAGAAUGAAAUUGAAAAAAAAUAUAUAAUUUCAUAAAUUAUCUCAAAUAAAAUAAAUAAUAAUCAAAAUAAUAGAGAUCAAAUCUAAAAAAUUAAAAAAAAAUGAAAGAUGAAGAAAUUAAAAUAAUAAUAAUCAACAUUUUAUAAAUUAUUUCAAAUAAAAUAAGUAACAAUCAAAAGAAUGAGGAUCAAAUUUGAUAGAUAAAAAAUUUCAAUAAAAAUAUGAUAAGGAAAAAGCAAAUAGCAAUUAUAAAAAUAAGGACCAAAGUUAAUAUAAAAAUAAAAUUUUAAGAGAUGAAAUUGAAAAAUAAAUAUUCAAAACCAAAUAUAUAUAGCAAUCAAAAGUUUGAGGAUUAAAUUUGAUGUAAUCAGCAAAUAAUGACAUUUCUAAAUUUUUCACAACUUCCGGAAAGUGUUUUCUCCCCAAAUUUUUCAGGAAAACACUUUCCUGAAAACCAAGCCAAAUUUUCCUUUUACUGGAAAGUGUUUUCUAUUGACCAACUUUCCUACUGGCAAACAAACACAAGAAAGUUUGGAAAGUGAUUUCCCGGAAACCACUUUCCGGAAAACAAACACAGCUAAAAGGAAAAUAUUUUCCUGAAAACCAAGUCAAAUUUUUUUUUGACUGGAAAAUAUUUUUCGUUGACCGGAAAGUGUUUUCCGUUAACUAUAAAGUAUUUUCGUUGAUCAACUUUUCUAAUGACAAAAAAAUUUGUUUUCAGACAAAAAAACAUGGUCUAAAACUCGAUUUUGAUUUUGAAUGCUAGCGGGUGUUGUUUUUUUAUCUUGCUUUAAGAAAAAUGAAGGACUCAAAUCCCCAAACCAAUUUGUCCAGAUUUUCAUAAAUAUCAAGUCCUAUCUAGCAAUCAGCAGCCAUUCUAGGCUUAUCUUAGCCAAGGACCAAGAGCCCAGCCAAGUGGGCAGUGCAUUUAAUGUUAAUAUAAAAAAUAAAAAAUAAAAACAUAUAAGAAAAUUUAUUUUGAUUAUUUUUAAUUAAAAAACAUUACUAUUUUGUGUAAAAAUAUAAUCAUGGCAUAUAGGAUUAUAAUUAUGAUUAAUCUUUUAUCUAUUAGGACUAAAACAUGUUCUCUGUAAAUAUGUGCUUAAGCUUAGUUCCUUUUAAGGAUGAUCUUGUAUGCUCGUGUUAAAAAAAAAAAUUAGCAAGAGAGAGAUUUAUAUUAUGUUGUGAGGAUUUAAUGUAUUUGGGAUUCAAGUUUAAAAUUAGUUUUUUAAAACUUGUACAAAUUAUGAUUAUAGUAAAUUUUUUUUUAUUAUUAACGUGGGUAUCCGGGUCAAUUUGUGCGCCUCUCGAUUAAUCCCACGGGCCCUAAAAUUAACGAUCAUAUAAGUUUUCAGUGAUCUUGAGAUUUGUGAGACUCAAAUUGAUGAUCUCUAUAAAGCAAAUUUAAAAUCUAAACAGUUGAGCUACACCUUUAGGGUUACUAAAUUUUUUUUUUUUGUUUAUUUUUAGAUGUUGGCAUGGACUAAUAAUGUAAAAUCAGUGUGUAAUUUAUUUACUUAUUUUUUCCAUAUGCUCUAUGUCUAUGGGUGCCAGUUUUAACAAAUACCCUUACAAUUUUUCCUCCAUGCCAAACAUAUCAUAGAGAGUGAAUACAUUGUAAUUGGGUCGGGUCUCCGAAAAUAUGGGUCGCAAAAGGCACAAAAAUAAUUCAUAAGCCCAAGAACCUCUUUAUAUGGGCUCAUUGUUUGUAACAAUAGGACAGACUAAGAUACUUAUGGGCUGAGCUUUGGUAAUCCCAAGAACUUCAAAGUCAGCCCACAUGUAAGCUUACAUGGCCAACUUCCAAUUUCCAAACAUGGCCUGGCAUCCGAUUUGUUUUAUAUAUUUUCUAGUGCAAUUUUAAAUGUGAACAAAUAAUAAUUCAAGUUGCAAGAAAUUCAUUGAUAUUAUUCUUAAACCCAGUUUAGUGAGUUAAAUUUAAAAAAUCUUGACUUGAAGCCAUGUUAAUUCUGGAUUUUUAAUUAAAUUAAGUGAGAGUUAUAUCGAUUUCAAUCAAUUAAUUUUAUUGGUUGAAGAAAUGAAAAAAAAAUCAAAAGAAAAAAUUGACAUAAAAAAAAUUUAGAUGUAUAGGUUUAAAGGAAAGCUAAACUAUUGUUAAAAAUGAUUUGAUUUUUAAAAAACUUAAAGCUAAUAAUUUUUAGUUAUGGCACUAACCCGUGAAAUAUUAUAUGUUCUUUUCCUUGGGUUGUUUCUGAGUGGCAUCACCGCUGCACAAAGGGAAGCAACGCUGCCCAUCACUCAAAAAGGGGCCGGUAUCUUCCCCACAAGAGCGAUAGUUCCACCGUCGGCGCCCGGCAAGCAGCAUAAUUCCGUUCCGAGGUGCUCUUUGCUAUGGAUUAGAUCAAAAUCAAAUGAAUGCAUUGAAAAAAAUGUGCUAUUUUUUUUCAUGUGAUAAAAUAUUAAAAAUGUGGAUUAAAAACUUGAAUAGUAUAUCAAAUAAAGGUAGUUGACUAUCAUAUAUGUUAAUAAAAAAAAUGAUGUGGCUUAUCUGAUCUAACAUGUUAAGAGCGAACUAAUCACCAUAUUUAAAUGGUGAUGUAGUUGGUUAAAACUUAAUGUCAUUGUUAUUUUCACCUGUACCUAACAUUAGCUCAAAUGUGAAAUAACGGAUUGUCAAAAGAUUAAAUCAUCAAAAAAUAUUAGGAGUGAAAUAAAAAAAUAAUGACACAUUGUAUUGACUCGUGCUAACCUGCGUAAUCAACAACCAGGGUAAUGGUCACAAUCAUAAUAAGUCAACCUAUCUGGACAAUAAAGCCUUUUCUUUAUUCUUCCCUUAUUCUCCUCGUAGUUGAGCCUAGAUUGGGUCUCAAACUUCGAUUUCAAUUAAAUAAUGGAGAUGAAGUUUAAAAAAUAAUUAAAUAUUGAAUAAUAAAACUGAAAAGAAUUAGCUUAAAAAAAACACAAGCCUAAGCGAAUCUUUUAUACCGGAGUUAAUCUUUUAAAUUCACAAUCAAUAAAAUCCUAAACUCGAGUUCAAUUAAUAAUUUUAAUUCUCAACCAAUUUAAUGUUGAAGGAUGAAAUUAUAAUAAAAAUAUUGAUUAAAACAAAUUUUCAAAGCAAAAGGGAUUACAACAAAAAAAUAAGGAUCAAAUCACAUAGAAAAAAAUUUGGAGGAUGAAAUUGUAAAAUAUAUUUAAUUCUAAAAAUCAUCUAAAACAAAACAAAUAGCAAUUAAAAUAACGAGGAUAAAAUCUGACAGAUAAAAAAUGAAGGAUGAAAUUGAAAAAUAAAUAAAUAUGCAAUGAUGAAACUAAAAAAAUAUUAGCUUAAAAAGAGAAAGAAAAAAAACAAAGUAAACUCGUGUGAAUCUCUUAAACCUUGAUUAAUUUCUCAAACUUGCACCUUGUAAAAUUUUAGAUAUAAGUUUAAUCAAGAAACUCAAUUCUCCGAUUGAAGAAUAAAAAAAAUUAUAAAUAAAUAAAUUACCAAAACAAAAGGGAAUUGGGAAAAAAAGAAAGAAAAGGAUCAAGACAUCUAGAAAAAAAAGGAUGAAAUCGUUAAAAAAACUUCAAUUCUAAAAAUUAUUUAAAAUAAUAUAAAUAAUAAUCAAAUGAAUAAGAAUCAAAUCUAACAAAUAAAAAAUUAAAAGAUAACAACUUAAAAACAAAUUCUAUAAAUCAUUUUAAAAAAAUAAUUAAAAUAAUAUGAAUGAAAUAUAAAAAUAAAUAAAUUAAAUAACUGAUUUAAAAUUAUAAAAUGCCACCUGUAGAAACCAAGUUGGAGAGAGAAAAAUUAGUUAGGUGUUGCCCUUAAUUUUGAUCCAACAAAUUGUUGGUUUGACCACCCAGUGCUUAGUGAUCCUUCUGUGGGAUUGUACUUAAUUUUGUACUUUUAGCUUAUUAGGUCUACAUUUACUCAUAUAAUUUAAUUUUUUAGGGUUCCUAAGCCCCGAUUUCAAAAAAAAUAAAAUUAAGAACCUUUUUUUUUAUCAACUAAGAAAAUGCAUGUUAUGUAGAAAGAAAUAUUAAUUGAUUAGGGUAGUACAAAAUAUCUUUUUAUUUGUUAUUAUGAUAAGUAAUUGGCAUGUUUGAGAAUCUGGUUAUAGUUGCUUUUUAAAGUGUUUUAUAUGUCAAAAUGUAUUAAAAAAAUAUUUUUAAGAUUAGAGCAUUGAAACGAUCCAAAACAUACCAAAAAAAUUAAUUUUUAACAAAAAUAAAUUUAAAUUUUAGUAAAAUAUGAUUUGCAUCACGUUUCCAAAUAUCUUCUUCCUAAAUAUUUUCUUUGCCUAGUUAUUGAAUAUCGUGUAUUGUCAAUAAAAAAGAAAAGAACAUUGCACCAUGAUUUAUAAUAAAUGAUAAUCGUUUAUUUUCUUAAGAAAGUAACGGCAUACAAGAUCCAAAUAGAUUUCCUAAAAAAUGCAUGUUAUAUAGAAAGAAAUCUCCAUUGAUUAGGAAGUAAAGAGUAUAUUUUUUAUUUGAUAUUAUGAGAAGUUUUUAUCUAAAUAUUGAAUAGCACGUGUUGCCAAUAAAAAAUAAAUAAAGAAUAUGACUCCAUAAUUUAUAAGAAGUAAAAAUUGUUUAUAUACGUUUUUUUGAGAGUAACUAUACAGGAUCCAAAUAGAUCAUUAAAAAAUGCAUGUCAUGUAAAAAGAAAUCUCCAUUGAUUAGGAGAGUAAAGAAUAUAUAUUCUGUAAUAAAGAAUAUUGCUCCAUAAUUUAUUAUUGAUUUUGUUUUUGUGGCAGUAUAUAAAUUACAGUCUCUUCCGUGAUCUCUACAACUCAAUUUGCUUUUUAGUUAUGGCACUAAUCCGUGAAUUAUAUUGUUCUUUUCCUCGGGUUGUUUCUGAGUGGCAUCACCGCUGCACAAAGGGAAGCAACGCUGCCCAUCAAUCAAAAAGGGGCCGGUUUCUUCCCCACAAGAGCGAUAGUUCCACCGUCGGCGCCCGGCAAGCAGCAUAAUUCCGUUCCGAGGCUGCGUUCUAUUCCAGCAACAAGCAUAGUGGAUGUGUUAUGUGUGCGAAGACGAAUAAUUAGCAGACCCCCACUUUUAUAUGUGCGUUGAUUUCAUAAUUUCCUUUUGUUUUGAAUAAAGAAGUGCGGGUAUUGCAUAUUUUGUUAUUUGAUAUUAUGUUAAGUCUCUGUCUAAAUAUUAAAUAACAAGUAUUUUCAAUAAAUAAUAAGAAUAUUACUCCAUAAUUUAUAGCAAACAAUAAUCGUUUGUUUAAUUUCAAGAAAGUACCUACAUGCAAGAUCCAAAUAGAGCAAUUAUAAAAUGCAUGUUAUAAAGAAAGAAACUAGUUUUGUAGCUCAUACUAUAUUUCGGUUUGUAUUAAAAAAUCUCUGAAGGUAAAACAAAAUGUUAAGAUUUUAAAAAAUUAUUCGAUAUUAUUAUUAAAUUUGAGUAAACCUUAAAUUCUUUUGACUUACUCUUUGCUUAGCUCUAGAUUAAAAUUAAUUUUGAAAGAGGUACUCUAAUAUAACUCAGUAGACUUGAUUGGUCUAAUAACUAAGGUUUGAUUUAAAAAACAAUUUACCAAACCUACAACCCAUAUUAAAUCGAUCCAAGUUUCGUAACUUAAUUUACCAAACCUACAAUCCAUAUCAUAGACUCAACUAGUUUUAACAACUUUACUUUUUAAAUUAUUUUUUAUUUAAAGAUAUGAUAAUGAAAAUAGACGCUUAUAUAAUUGAGCACCAACCAAAUACUGGAAUGUUUAUUUGAGACUGUGAUAACCUAAAAAACAAAAACAAAUCAAAACAAAUUAUGAAGACCAAUUUAGAGUUAAUCAAAUAUUGAAGAAUGAAAUUGAUAAAAAAAAAUCAAAUAAAAUUCAAUUAAAAUAAGAAAAAAUGGAAGAUGAAAUUUAAAAACAAGAAAUUAUUUUGAAUUGUUAUUGAAAUGGACCAACUAGGUAACUUUGAAAUUUCCUAACCAGACUUCUUAUUUAGUUUGGGUUUAAAGGCUUAACUUGUAAAACCCAUGACUUGAAUCAUGGGCUUCAUUGGGUUUAAAAAGUUUAUUUUUUUUUAUUUAAUGAUAUGACAAUAAAAAAAACACUUGUAAAAAUUGAAUUUUAAUCAAAUAUUAAUAUAUUUGUUUGAGACUACGAUAAUCUCAUAUAAAAAAAUUAAAACAAAUUAUAAUGACCAAUUCAAAUUUAUUAAAAUAUUAAAUGAUGAAAUUAGAAGAAAAAAAUUAGAAAGAUAAAAUUAAAAAAAAAAAUAUUUAAAAAAAUGAGGUGCUUUACCAGAACAGUAAAUAACCAUAACGUUUCCCAAUUCUUUCAGUAGAGAGAGUAAUCUCCAAUAUUGGGUAGGAAAGUAAAGAAUAUUUUGUUAUUUGAAUAUAAGUCUUUGUUUAAAUAUUGAAUAACAAGUAUUGUUGAUAAAAUGUUUUAAAAAUAAAAAAUAUUAACCAGUAAGUUAACAAUUCAAGAAGAUAAUGUAGUGUUAAUUUUUUUAUAUCAUAAAAUUUUAAUCUGCUUGUGUUAUAGAGAUUUAAAAAUAUGUAAUGUAAACAACAAUAAUUGGUAUUAUUUUAUUUCAUGAGAUCUUGUAUUUAUGAAAAGAUAUUUUAAAUAUUUUAUUCUAUGUGUCAAAUUUUUAUUGACAAAAAAAAAUAUAAAUUUUUAUUUAUUUAAAUUUUAUUUUACAUUUUCAUGAAAAAAACAAAAUAAAAAAUUACAUAUAAAAAAAAUUUGAUUUAUAAAUUUUUUUAUAUUUCUACACUUGUGUUUACCGCCACCUGUAGCUCGUAAUCUUCGUUCUCUAGAAUGGGGUGUCAGAGGUUUCUUGUUAAUGAUGAAGCAAGUGGUUUUGAAAGGAUAACUAGAGUUUUGACCUCAUGCGAUGGUGAACUAAGGAGAAGUUGGAGUUUUUCUACAAUGGGUAGCCAUUGAAAGAAUUAAAAUAAAGUGAAAGCUGACACAGGAUGAAGAAAAUUAUAUUCACUGCAUUACAUUGUUACUUACAGUGUAAGUGUAUAUAUAUAUAUGCGUACAAUCUUAAAGAUAAGAUAAGUGAAAGAAUUUGAAAUUUAAAACUAUAGCAGUAUUUGAAUUUGAAACUAUAACAGAUUAUCUUCAUUCAUCUUCUUCUGAUCUUCCUCUGAUCUUUCUCCCAUGCUUGAAUCUGCUCCUGAUUUUGUUGAGAUUGUUAUGCUAUUUAAUACUCUAACACCCUCCCUCAAACUGUGGGGAAGAAGACAGACACAUAGUUUGUCUCUGAGAAAAAAAAACCGGUUUGCAGUAUGGCUCUUUGUAAAGACAUCAGCAAUUUGAUCUUGUGUGGAGGUAUGCAGAAUUUGAACAUCAUGAUUAACCACCUUUUCUCUGACGAAAUGGUAGUCAAUUUCAAUGUGUUUGGUGUGUGAAUGAAAGACAGGAUUAGAAGCUAAUGCAAUAGCACUGACAUUGUCACACCAUAAGCUUGGAGCAGCAGACAACGUGAUAUGCAAUUCUUGAAGAAGCAUGCGAAGCCAGUACAAUUCAGCUGUUGUAUGAGCCAUGCUUCUAUAUUCAGCCUCUGUGCUAGAUCGAGAGACAACACUCUGCUUUUUGCUGGACCAAGAUAUGAGAUUAGAGCCAAGAAACACACCAUAACCAGUGGUGCUCCGCCUGUCAUCAGGAUUGCCUGCCCAAUCAGAGUCACAGUAGGCAUGCAUUGUGAUUGUUCCUGGAGUGUAAAGAAGACCAAACUCGACAGUACCUUUAAGAUAGCGUAAGACACGCUUAACAGCUAUCCAGUGAAGUGCACAUGGAGAGUGCAUAAACUGACAUAACUGGUUUACUGAGUAGGAAAUAUCUGGUCUUGUGAUUGUGCAGUAUUGAAGAGCCCCUACAACUCGUCGAUAUUCAGUUGGAUUCUCUAACGGUUCACCAGCAGUAGAUGAGAGUUUUGAGCCAGAAGAUGAUGGACAACGAAGAGGCCUUGCACCAAGCAUAUAGGUACUGUUGAGCAGAUCAGUUAUAUACUUUGUCUGUCGCAAAUGUAAACCAGCUUGGUUUCUAAUGGCUUCAACAACAAGAAAGAAGCUUAAUUCCCCCAAGUCUUUAAUUGGAAACACUGUCUGUAGUUGAUCAAUAAAAGAAUGAAUUGCUUGAUUGUCAGAUCCUGUGAUUAUUAUAUCAUCAACAUAUACUAACACAAACAUACGUAAAGUGUCAGAAUUAUAUGUAAACAAUGAAUAAUCCAUCUUGGAUUCUGAAAAACCAAAGUCAAUCAGCUGCUGUGAGAGGCGUUUAAACCAAGCUCGAGGAGCUUGUUUGAGACCAUAAAUAGACUUGUGUAGAUAGCAUACAUGAUCAGGAAAGAUGUGAUCUUCAUAACCUUUCGGUUGUUCCAUGUAUACUACUUCAUCGAGAAUACCAUGCAGAAAGGCAUUGGAAACAUCCAACUGCCGAAUAUUCCAUUUGAAUGAGACUGCAAGAGAAAGGAUUAAUCUGAUGGUAGUUGGUUUUACUACUGGUGAAAAAGUAUCAAAGUAAUCAAUACCAGGAAUUUGUUCAAACCCUUUGGCUACAAGCCUCGCUUUGUAGCGAUCAAUACUGCCAUCAGGAUGUCUCUUUAGCUUAUACACCCAUUUAUUUCUGACAACAUGUGUAUGUGAAGGUCUAGGACAGAGAGACCAUGUGUUAUUUGCUAGUAGCGCAUCAAAUUCACGUCCCAUUGCUGCUUUCCAAUGUGGAUUGGAUACUGCCUUUGUGAAACAAGUAGGUUCAGAUUCAAUGACUAUACUGGAGAAAACUUUUAGAGGAUGUCGGGUAGAAUAAAAAGUUUUAAAACCAGGGAACUCUUUAGGUUUAAGACUACCCGUUUGAGAUCGAGUAACCAUUUGUCUAGGCAGUACAGAAGACAAUGCAGGAGAAGAAAUAGGAUCAGGUAAGGACACAGGAUCUGUGGGAGAAGGCAGUAUAGGAGAUAUUGGGGAAGACAUGACAGGGGAUGCAGCAGGACAUAAACUAGAAUCAGAUAAUGACACAUGAUCGGUGGAAGAAGGAGUAGGAAUUGAAGGUGCAAUUGUGGAAUGUUGUAAGGAUAGACCUUCAGUGGAAGAAGGACUUUCGGUUGCAAAAGAAAUUGAAACAGGUGGAGUAAAAUUGAAAUGCUGAGCAUGAGAAAUUAAAGGAACUAAAUUGGAAGGAAGAGUAGUACCUGAAGACUGGUUGCUCGCAGGAGUGGCAGAAGAAUGACUUUUAUCCAAGUGAGGGAAAGUGUUUUCAUCAAAAACAACAUGCCUGGAAAUAAACACCCUGCCUGUAGCAAAAUCUAAACACCGAUAACCUUUUUGUUGAUUUGAAUAUCCUAAGAAAAUACAUUGUUUGCUUCUAAAAGCUAACUUAUGUUUUUCAUAUGGUCUGAGAUAAGGAUAACAUGCACAACCAAAUAAUGCGCAGGUCAGAGUAGCGAGGCAUAGUUUUAUGGAGAACAAAGUAAGGUGUGAUAUUAUUAAGGACUUUCGUUGGUAAACGAUUAAUCAGGUAUACUGAAGUAAAAAAGGCAUCUACCCAAUAACAGUUUGGAAGACAAGCUUGGGCUAAGAGGGUUAAUCCCAUUUCUUGAAUAUGGCGAUGUUUACGUUCAGCAAUUCCAUUUUGUGGGGAUGUAUAGGGACAUGUCAAGCGAUGAAAUAUUCCAUGUUUAGCCAAAAAAUUCUGAAACUCUGUUGAUAAGUAUUCUCCACCAUUAUCAGAUUGUAGUUGUUGAAUUGUGCAGGAGAAUAGAUUUUCAACAAGAUCUUUAUAGAUUUGAAAUAUGGAAAAAACAUCACUUUUGAACCGCAUAGGAUACAUCCAUGUAAAGCGACUAAAAUCAUCAAUGAAUAGAACAUAAUAUCGACAUCCCCCUACUGAAGUAACAGGAGAUACCCAGACAUCAGUGUGAAUCAAGGCUAGAGGUCUGGCCGAUUGUCUUUGAGAAUCACUAAAAGGUAGCUUUUUAGAUUUCCCUAACUGGCAGGGAGAACAAAUACUUGAUUUGCUAGGUGACUCUUUUAUUGGUAGGAAAGAAGAUAAAUAGUUUAAAGUUGAGUCGGAAGGAUGACCAAGGCGUUUAUGCCAUUGAUCUCUAGUGGUUGUGGUCCCUAAGUUAGAGGUAAAGCAACGAAAUUGCUUGGUGCAAUUCUUAUUCCCAGUGAUUGGAUAAAGGCCAUUCUCAACCAGCCCUUGGAGCAGCAGUCGGCUGGUCUUGUUUUCCUUGAUAAAAAAAGAAGUUCCAGUAAGUAUGAAGUAACAAUUAUUGUCAAGGCAGAAUUGAUUAAUGGACAACAGGUUAGAUGCAGCUUGAGGACAAUACAAAACAUUAUUCAGACGAAAGGAAUUAUGUGAUGUAUGUAACGAGGAGGAACCAGUAUUUUGAAUCAUCAAACCUGAACCAUUCCCAACUUGAACAGUAUCCAUACCAUCAUAAGGCUGCAGGUUGUUAAAUCGGCUACAUUAGCAGUAAUGUGAGCAUUAGCCCCACUGUCAGCAUACCAAGUGUGUUGCUCAAAAGUAUUAUUGGCUUCAGCAGCCAUGGCUGCCAAUUCAGAAGGAGGUCGUCUGCCCUGAAAAGAAAAUUAAACCGUUGAAAGCAAUCCAAUGCAGCAUGACCAAUUUUGUCACAGAUUUGACAUUGUGGUCUGUCAUAUGAAGAAACACGAUCAUUAUGAGGCUGAAUUCUGGAAGGGCCUCGAGAUUGUGGUAAUGCAGAAUGUGGCUGGAAUUUGGCAGGAAUAAGUGCAGGUUUCCUUUUUGGAAAAUGAGAUGCUUUUGCAGCAAAGGCAAAAUUAUGAGAUUGGAUGGGAGUGGAGGCUUCAAGUAAUGUUUCAAAACUGAGAAGUUCAGAUUGAAAAUCAUCCAAAGAUAGAUCCUUAUCUCGACAAGCAAAAUUAUAGGACGUGAUAAAGGGUGUAAAGUUGGGACGAAGUCCUCCAAUUAAAAAUGUAAUGAAGUCUUGUUCAUCUACAGGUUUGCCUGCAGCAGCAAGUUGAUCAGCCAACAGUUUAGCAUCUUCAAGAAAUGCAGAACAUGGUCGGUUGCCUUGAACAAGAGUUUGAAGUUGCCUCUUAAGAAGAGCAAUACGGGAUCUUGAGGUAGAUGAAAAUCGUGCCUGAAGAGAGUCCCAAACUUGUUUGGAAGUCUUUAGAUUAAAGACAGUAGAAACUAACUUCUCAGAAAUGGAAGCAAGUAGCCAGUUGAGAACACAAUUAUCCUUUUUGAACCAAAUUGCGUAGGCUGGAUUAGAAGAAUGAUCUGAAAGAGUUCUGGUUGGUGGCUCUUCAGAACCAUCAAUCAUACCAUUGAGAUCAUGGCUACGAAGAAAAACUUGAAACUGAACACUCCAUGGCAGGUAAUUAUGUCCUUCAAGUCUUUGGCUGACUGGUUGUGAAUUGGAUUGAAUCUUUUGGGGUGAAGAGAACAGGGGAAGAGUUGUAGAAUCAGAUGAAGUCAUAGUUGAGAUGAUGAAAAAGAAGAAAGAGUGGAUUUGUGUUUAAUGUGCGGAAGCUGUGGCAAAUCAAGUGUUAACCUAUGAUUGCUCUGAUACCAUGAAAGAAUUAAAAUAAAGUGAAAGCUGACACAGGAUGAAGAAAAUUAUAUUCACUGCAUUACAUUGUUACUUACAGUGUACAUAUAUAUAUAUAUAUAUAUAUAUAUAUAUAUGUACAAUCUUAAAGAUAAGAUAAGUGAAAGAAUUUGAAAUUUGAAACUAUAGCAGUAUUUGAAUUUGAAGCUAUAACAGAUUAUCUUCAUUCAUCUUCUUCUGAUCUUUCUCCCAUGCUUGAAUCUGCUCCUGAUUUUGUUGAGAUUGUUAUGCUAUUUAAUACUCUAAUAGCCAUUUCAUGGUGGGAAAUUGAUGGCAUCCUUGAGAGCGAUGUGCUGUUGGUGGUUUUUGUGAUGGUGUUUAUAAGAUCCCACAUCGAAAGCGAGCGUUCAGAGCCAAAGCCUUAUAAGUGCAUGCUCACCUUGACUAGUAAGACGCGUUUUUGGGUCAUGCAUGACUGCCAAGAACAAACCCGUGAGGGGGACCUGGGUAGAAGCCCUGGAUUUAGGUGGACUGAGAGGCCCAAAGCGGACAAUAUCUUGCUAGUGAGAUGGGGUGUUACAUUUGGUAUCAGAGCUAAGGACGACUCGUCUUAAGGUGGGGGAAUUGUAAGAUCCCACAUCGAAAGCGAGCGUCCAGAGCCAGGGCCUUAUAAGUGCAAGCUCACCUUGAUUAGUAAGACGCGUUUUGGGGCCAUGUGGCUGCCAAGAACAAACCCGUGAGGGAGACCUGGGUAGAAGCCCUGGAUUUGGGUGGACUGGGAGGUUCAAAGCGGACAAUAUCUUGCUAGUGAGGUGGGGUGUUACAGUGUUGAUCAGGUUAGAUAUUCUUUUUGAUUUUGGUACUCUUUCUAAUUUUUGUAUAAUAGUGAUUUUAUAUUAUUUUAAUGUACUGAUUUCAAAAAUAAUUUUAAAAAAAUAAAAUAACAUCAUUUUAAUAUAUUUCUAAACAAAAACAUUUUAAACCGCAACCGCUACUAUAAUCCCAAACAGUUUCAAAGAGAAGAUUGUAGUGUGUGACAUGGUUAUUAAGCUCGACUUAGGAUUGGCCUGAGUCAAAACUCAAAUCAUGAGUAAGGAGAAUUAACUUAGGUUGAUUAAAAAUAUUAAAUGUCAAAAUGAAGUUUUUUUUUUAAAAAAAGUCACAUGUAUUUUUACUGGGUUUCAACAUCGGAUCAAUUCAAGUUUUUGACUGAGUCACUCAAGGCAAUUUCUCUUUCUAUUUUUUGUGAAAUUCAAACUAGUCUAAACUCUGAGCAAGCUGGUCCGAGUUUUAUAAUAGUGAUUUAUGGUGGAGUGUGAUGGUGUUUUAAGAAGAUGUAGAAUGUGUUUGGAAACCGCAUUCCUUAAAUUUUGAUUUUUUUUGUUAAAAAUAAUAUAUUUUAUGUUUUCAGAUCGUUUUAAUGUGCUAAUAUCAAAAAUAAUUUUUAAAAGAUAUAUAAAAAAAAUUUAUUUUAAUAUAUAUUUUUUUAAAAAUAUUUUAAAUUAUAAUUAUUAUUAUAAUCCCAAAUAUUCUUGUAAGGUUGUGCGAUAAUUAAGUAAGAUGAUGGAACCUUUUGUUUUUUUUUUUUUUUUUUUUAGAAAAAGGUUUGAAAGGCUUGAUUGGCCAUGUAAAAGAGCAGUUGUUGAAUACGAGCAAAACUUUGUUCAUGAAUGCUCAUUUCCUUGGCCACCAGCUUGGAAGGUUGUUGAAGCAUUGCCCCCCUUUUUAUUAUUAUUAUUAUCUUUUUGUUGUUUUAGGACAAUUGGGAGAAGUCUUUUCCUACUGCAAAUGAGAUUCAUGUAUUUAUUUUACAAGCAAAAAUCAAAAUGGUUACGUCAUUGAGGCAUUUGAGAUUUGUACUGAAAUUAUAUAUUUUCAAUCACUAUUCUUUUUACGACUUUCAAUCGAACAAGAUUGACUUUUACAAUCUUAGAAUUCAAGCAAUUUAAAUUUAUAAUAUCAAUAUUGUUUAAAACUAAGUAUCAAAAGGAACUAUUAUUAAUUAAAUCUCUCGAUGAAUUUUGAAUUAUUUUCCUUUACUCAUAUUAGAUCAUCUUUUAUAGUAAUCAAAUAUCAAAUUACUCAUAAUAUAAUGCUUUUAACUUAACUAUUCGUCUAAAUUAAAACCCACAUGUAUGAUAAAGAGUAUAAAUAUAUUUAUGAAGAAGAAAAUAUUAUUUGAAUCAAAUAUAACAUAUAAUAUAAAAGUAUAAUUGCUUUAUAGAUUUUUAGGAAUAUAAUUCAGAUUUAACUUGUUGGUAUUAAGCUUUUUUUUUUAAAUCAAAUUCCUUAUUACCAUCUAACUUGGAUUCAAACAAAUAAUAAUAAAACUUUAUAAAAGAAUAUAUAUGCCCAAGUAAUUGUGAAUCUCAUAAAUAUUUGAUUUGGAAUGUCGUAGCAUAGCAUUGUAUGAGAAUUUUAUAUUAUUUGUUUUUAUACAUAGCACUAGUUUUUUUUUUUUAAAUAAUUGUGUUAUAUAAUGUUAUCAAAUUAUACAAAUGACCCAGACUAGCAGGACCAAGUGCGGACAGCAACCUUCUGCUCAAUUUGUAUAUUGUCUUUCUUGCUAGCUUGUCGGCUUUAUAGCACUAGCAUUGAUUAAUAAUAUAUCCUUGAUUUUUUUAAAAAAAAAUCUUCUGCCCACCUGCACGUUUAAUUGGAUGAAAGUUUUAAAUUUCAAGAAUCAAGAUUUCGUUUGAUUUUAGGAGGAAAAAACAAUAUUGGUCCAAUUGUGGACUUAGUGGUUUGGUAUUUGAUUUUUUUUUUUUUCUGAUUCCAUAUCGGUGAAUGUCUAUCAUAAUUAAUUAUGGUAUAAUUCUAGGAGAUUUUUUGUAAUUAUUUUUAAAAAAUAUUUUUAACUCUAAGAAAAAACUUCUUGAAUAUAAUCUUCUUAAGAGAUAAGCUAUUAUAAAACUAACAUACAAACUUAACAAAAUAAAACAUAAAAAAUAUGAUAAAAUGACAAAUAACACAUAAAAAUUUACCUGAUUAACCCAAUUAAACUAUAUUUAUGAACAAAUAUAGAAGAAUUUUAUUAAUUAAUGUGAAAAUUACAACUUUUUUAUUAAAAAGAAGAACAGUUAAAAUUUCUCAAUUACUAAAAAAAAUAUAAUUUAUUCUGUUAUAAAUACCGGAUUAUUUUUCCAUUCUUGCCUUCAUUUUUCUCUCUCGUGCUGUGUUUAAGGCUCGGAUGUAUUAUUUAUUUAUAGACAAGUCAAGUAUUCAUGUGCCUAUAGCAAGUGGCACCAAUGCCUAUCUGGCUUCACAUAAGUCUCUCUAUAUAUUGCUACCUCGAUGUGCAAAAUCUUCUCAGAAAAUAUGGAUCCAGGAUUUUUGCAAAGAUUGUUCAGUCUUGUAUCCUCAGCUGAAAUUCUAGUUCUACUUCUUUUACCUCUAACAUUUAUCAUCCUCAAGAACAUUACAAGGUCAUGUUCUAAAAGCAAGUAUCUUCCACCUGGUCCAAAGCCAUGGCCUAUCAUAGGCAACCUUCUCCAUAUGGGGAAUCAGCCUCAUGUCUCCUUGGCAG
rnacentral:lncRNA from 1 species